UUUUCUUUCACACAAUUUAUUCAUGAAUACUUGGAUGAUGGUGAAAAAGAAAAAAGAACAUUUCGUUUCAUUCUUUUUUGUUUUUUUCUUUUCACAGUAAAGUCGACGAUGAUGAGGAAGAAAAUGGUGGCUAUUACUGCGCGCAGUUCUGUUGUCCUAUAAAAGCUUACUAGAUUGCACAUUUUACAUCACAACCGAAGAAAAAUAACUCAAAGGAUAAACAAUUUCAGUAUUUAAUUCCGGAAUCACCAAUCUCGAGCCGCGGCCCUCUUUGAAGGCGGAGAUAAUGUCAUAUCAAGAUAAUAACAAUGGAAAGAAACAAAAAAAAGGAUAAGGAGCGAAGUACCUUUUCGUCCACGGACGACCAGCAGUAUGGCAGCGUAGAGGGAUUGGCUAAGAAGACAGAAGAAAGUAACGAAGGAAAGAAGGAGAAGAAAGAUAAAUGGCACAUUUCUGGUAACAACUCCGAGCCAUCGGAGGAGCAACAAACGGGAGUAAUUAAUCAGAACAUAAGAUUUGAUCAGUAUGAUGAACAGAAGAACAAAAAGGACAAGAAAAGUCGUGGUUAGUUAGCGAUGCAUUUAGAUUAUUACAAAUUUUUACUAGUAUUAUACACAUACAUACACACAUAUUUCACAAGAAGAAGAAAAACAUACAUGCAUACACACGUAAUAUCAACAGCAUACAGACUCAUUUUCCGAGACACUAUCUUCUACAUGCAAAAAGCAAUAAUCUAGGUCAGAGUCUGAUGCAUAUUUUUCAUGUGAAAACAAGGUUGUUAUAAAAGGGAUUUAUCUUGAUACUGUGGUGUCCAAAUCCAAUUAGGGGUAGUUUGAAUUGGGUUUUUAUCUCUUGAAACUCCUUGGAAGUCCUUUGGGUGGUCUAAGGUGCUAGUUCUAGGUUUUGAGUGGUGAAUCUACACUCUAAGGUUCAACUUUUCUCUGUUUUAGGGCUGUUUGUAACCUGCCUUCUUUAAGCUUUUUUGCAAUAUAAUUUGGUACUUAUAAUUUUUAUAUUUUUGUCGAGGAAA